CCGGCCCGAGGCGCCGCCGCUUCCGCCCGCCCCGCCCCGCGGCCGCUCUGCCGCCCCCUGCCCGGCUGGAGGGGCCGCGCAGCACCGGAGUCACACAGAGAAUCCUUCGGGUUGGGAGCGACUUCUGCACAUCACCCAGUCCCGCCCCCCUGCCAGGGCAGGGGCGCCUGGAGCAGGAAAUAGUGACAUGAUUUUCCAAGAAGUGACCAAACAGAAAAGCUACCAGGAAAUGGAGAAGCACCAUCCAGUCACGAGACCAAGAACUACAGACUGGUGCUGCAUUGGGGCUUGGUGGCUGAGGCAGCUCUGCACUGCAGCUGUCUCCUGCCAAGGGACCCCUUACCCCACAAGAACAAGUUCCUGAUGGAGACUGUCCCCCCUGGAGACUCCCUUGUCCUACUCAGCUGCCAAAGGCUCUGGGUCAGAGCAGGGUCAGCACAGCUGUCCCAGCACAGCCACCCCCACCAGUGAGCCAAAGCCUUCAGGCUCUUGGGACCUACAUUUCAGUGAGUUCACCUCCCAUGGAGUUCAGCUUUCAGCAAAUCAGCACAACAAUCCUGCUCAAAGUGUUGGUGAAAGAAUGUUAUUCAUAAUCAACAGUAAGUUAUUAAUUAUACUGGGGUUGACAUUUUGAGAUGCACCAGCUCAAACUGAUUCUUGUACAGAUCCAAAGAGUUCAAUAAAACACCCCUUAAGGAGGACAACACUGGGGAGGAAAAGCAGCAUUAGCACACUGAAUCACUGAGCAAGAAUGUGAUUGGAAUUACUACACUGGAUUAACUUCAUUUGAGUAUCUCUGCAUCUGAUGGCAUGAUUUUAUACUAUAAAAGCAUUCUGUAUUUAGAGCUAAUCUGUCAUGGUGCACUUAGAUCACAACAUGUAAAUGAGAACACCACAUGCAGUGUAGGAGUUCAGAACUUAAAAGGUAAAUGUCAGUCAUUACCUGUAAACCUCUGGAAAAUUCUAUUUCUAUCUUCUUGCUCUCCUCACUCAGCUCUGCUUGGGCUGCAAAUCAGCAGUAACUGCGGAAGAGAGACACCAACAUAAACAACAGCCUUCUGAAACUUUAUGGUUGCUCAUUCUGCCAGUCUGAAAAUCUUCUUCUGUGAUCAACCUGCAGUCAGUCAGGAACUCUGAAACUCAAAACCCACCACCAAACAAUCCCUGACUGUUUUAGGUGGUAGAGAAGUGUGUGCACCCUCAGGGGCCACAGCCACCUCCACCUUGAAUUGUGCCUCCCGAAUUCAGUCCAUGCACAGAUGCCCCAACAGGUCUGACACAUGGGAGUUCCCCACAUACCAAGAACAAUGGGUGUCCCACAAGCCCUCAGAGGGCAUUAAAUUUCUUGCUAGCGCUUGUCAAAGCCCCACAAUAUCAUCCCACAGCAGCACAUAGGCACAGCACAAACCACUCUGCAGGACCCAGCACUGUGGGACUCAAAGGAUCAAAGAGUGGUGUGCACCAAAACAAUAGACUCCCCAAGUUUCUAGUUUAGGGGCCUAGUACUUCCCACUCAAAAACACACAGAGCGAGUAACAAUAAGAUUUAAAAUACCCAACUUUGUUGAUGACCUCGCAGGAUUAUUUACCAAAAAAAAAUAGAUCAAAACCCGCUUGAAAACAUUUUCCGUUCCUUCGGAUAUCCCUCCUUUCCUGUAGAUGGAAGGAGAACAAAACUAAAAAUGCCUUUCCCUUUCUUCCCCCAGGAAAACAGUCCUUAGAACAAUUAACAUAACGGACUGUCAGAAGUGCUCAUAGCAAAGUGACAAACGCCGUGAGUGGCAGGCGAGCCCAGCCCGACCCACCAGAACACUGCGGGCUGGGUUUGUCAUGCAAAUCAAAAUGGGACCUGACAUGCUCUUUGUUCAUUUCCCUUUCAUAAAAUCUACUUUAAAUGCCUCCCAUGUGCCUUGUUUUGGAAGCUGACAUUCCAAAUGCAUCAGUGCAAAUUAAGGGAGGGAUCCAUUACCGAUAAAGACGUCGUGAUACAGAGAGUUUCAACAAAUCUUAUUGGGAGAGCUGGGGAAACAACUGCUGCAGCUGGCACCUGGAGGGUCACGCAGUUUGCUGCUUUCAUGAAGGCUCUUUAGAAAAACUCCAUCAGCAGGUCCUUGCAGGAGAAGUUCUGGCAAGCUGUCACAGCUUAAUAUUUAUAGAUUAUGUCUGCAAGCAGUGGGUACGUUGUGAAUUAGGAAUUAAUCACAAUGGUUUUGAUUUAAGUCUUGUCUGUGUUUAAAUGCACGAUGGUUAACAUGCAUAAGGCAAAUAUUUAAAUUACAAAUUGAUUGAGAUGUAUCUUAUUUAUUUCUGCCAUUUUACUACCUGAGUGCAUAAACAAUUACAGCUUUUUAGAAGACUCCUUCAGAUGUACAAUAUUUUACAAUUAACUUGUAUAUAAUUGUCAUGAUGCACUUUAUGAAGAUGCCUUUUAAACAAUGAAAGUGAUGUUCUGACCUCAUGAAAAUAAUUGGGAAGCUUCCACUGACUUCAGCUGAGCCAGUGGUUCAUCCCUUCAGGACACAUUUUUAACAAAGCCCUCGAAGCAUUUACUGGGCACGUGGGACUUUGGUUUGAAAAUAUAUGAGCACAUCUGUUAAUAAAGCAGUUUGGAAUUUACUCCCAAAAAUAUACUAACCCAAACCUUGGACUACAUUAACCUCCCUAGUUUUGUAAUUAUAACAAUUUCUGUGGUGAUUUGGUUUCACCUCUGCCAAAACCAGCAGUCAAUCUGCAUAAAUAGUGGUUUCAUCACUGCAAUUCCACUUGAGCCUCCAAAAAUUCAGAUUUCAGACCAUGCAGUCGGUCAGUUGGACUGUUCCAUACCAUCAUUAACCCUGGUCCACGUCCUGGACAUGUUAUUUUUUUCCAUUCUGAUAGAAAAUGCUUGUCUUUGUCAAUGCAUUGCUUUACUCUUGCAGCUUGCAGGCACUUACCCUGCAGCCUUAGAUCUGAAUCCCUCCUGGAAUUUCAUUCACUCACCUCUUUUUCAACUAUUAGUGGUUAAAAAAACCCACAACAAACAUAAACAUUUCCAUUUAAUGCCUUAUCAGAACUAUUAUCUGAUCAUUUAAUCUUACAUAUCAUCUCUUUACAAAGGCAAGACCUUUACUUCUGCAUUGGCUCUGAGCUUGAAUUUUUCUGAAUCAGACUUUUCCUCCUGCUCAUUUGGAGCAUCCUGUUUCUUCGCCCUCGCCCCAAGAUCUGAACAUCUCUACACAGGGAAUUUGCAGCGAAGGGGAAUGAUGCCUCUGGAAUUGUUUCCUUGCCAGUUCACAUCUGGUCCUCAGCACAAGAUCCAUCUGUUUAUUCAGGGUCUCCAGGGGCUUGUACAGUAGUGGCUAUGAGCCUUUUAAUUUGAUUUUGUCAUUUGGCUGGUUGGUGAGCACUUGACAGGCUGUGUAAGUGCAGCAGGGCAGUUACAACCAGUCACUCAUCGUAUCCUAGUGGCCAAUUCAUAACCCAGAGGAAUGCCAGUCACAUUUCAACAAUUUAAAACUGUAUCAGUCAUCUGCCCUACAUACUCCCAAAUUGUCAGCACCAUGAAAUGUAUUGCUUAAUUAUCUUUAAUUUAAUGUGAUUUCUUGCCUGUACACUUGUGCUUAGGAUUGUUGCCAGAGGUCUGGAGAGCAGAGUCAUAGUAAUCUUAAUUUACCUGACUAAGCUGUCUGGGUUUGAAGGGGAGGUGAAAUGAUGGCAUGGCCUUGGGUGACCCAACUAUGUCAUAAGGAACAAGGCAGGUAAGGACAGAACUUCCUCAGAGCAAAGCUUUGUAUUUUUUAAACACAGAGAUGUUGGCACCAGCAUCAAUUACACUGCCAUGACAAAGAGCACAAAGUAAGCCACAUAUGGAUUUAUUUCUCCUUCCAAAACCCGGGAUUAGGAUUGGUCACAGUUUGCCUCCUGCUGUGUCUCACCUCCUUCUGUGGAGAUGUGUUUAGUGUGGGAAAAGCGACCUCAGCCAUGGCAACAACCAGUAAAACUGCUUCUGGAGUAUGGAUAAUUCAGGUCACAGUGUGCAGAAUCACAUCCUCCCAAGCAGCAUUCCAAACACAAGAUAAACUCUUGUAAAAGCCUUCUGAAGCAACCUCUGGCAUAGGAAACCCCAGAUAACGUGCUAACUUUCAUAUGAAACACUUAGAUAAGCUCUGCUGUGUGAAUUGUAUAUGUCUGUGCUAACUGGGAGACACUGGAAAAACAAUUUCUGCCCUGAUCUUAUCCUUUAAGUAAGUGCUGAUGAUAAAAUUCCCAAUUCUCACUUUAUUAAUCUAUACUUAGUCAAGCCACAAAAGAAAGAAUUGGUCCCUGUUAAAACUUAUCCCUUACUUAAAGCUGAAAUUAAUUAGUUAACUAAUUCACUUGAGGUUUUGUUUUACUAUCUAUUGACAUGCUCUUUGAUCCUCCCAUAUUUCUCGUUUUGAGUGAUUGAAGAUUUCAUUCUUGCACUGUCAACAGACCUUUUGUUGAGAAACUUCUAUUUACAUCUGUAACUGACUGAAUUCUCACAUCUCCCCAGCAGUUCCUCUUUGAUCUCUGCAUUUCUGAGUUUAAUCAUUAAGUUUGCAUCAGAAGUUUUUCAGUUGCCGUAUCUUCCACAGUUUCCGGGAUUCACUUGCGAGAGCACAAACUCCUGAAGUUCACUUAGAAGGAUUUUUUGAAUUUUUGAUAGUUUUCUGAUAGUUUUGCAGGAAGUACCACACAUGCUGCAUCUCUGAAACUGCAGCAUGAACGAGCAGGAUUCCUGUUCCCUUUCAAUGUAUUAAAUAUUUAAACUUCAAGAUUUGACUUGGGUUUUUUUUCUGUGUAUUUAGUCCAUUUCUAGCCUUACAGUUUAAUCAUCUUAGGAGAUGUCCUACCUUUCUAGAGCAAAUUAAUCUACUGGGCCCAGGCUCUUCACAAUGCUUUUGAAACAAUUCUGGUAUUUUUAUUCCACUACCUAGACUCUAAAGACAAAGACUACUGCUAAAAAGCCACUCAACAGAAAGAAAUCAUUAAAUGAAAGGCAGGAAAUAAAUUUCACUGUAGAAGAAUCAUGAAGAGUAUGUUAAAACAUCACCAAGAGAACUCCAAGAGACAAGUCCUGAGCAUACAUUUCUGCUCAGCAAUACUGACUAAUAACUUUAAUCACUGGUUGUUCCCCGUGGGAAUGCAGGAGACAGGUGAUUCCGUGGUGCAAAGCAUCCUGUGCAUUCCCUCUCCACUCUCUGCAAUAACUCAAGACACGUAAGGAACCUGUGGCUGAAAGCUGUGCAUUGUGGGGGCAUUAAGAUUCCCCGAGGGCCACGUUCCUGGAGUGCUGUGCUCCUGGAAUACAUUUGAACAGCUCUGUACAAAAGCAGUCCCUGGCAAACACAUGAAUGAGAAUCACAAGUGGCUGCUCUGUCAAUCUCCCCCCUUCCCCAGCAUUCAUGGGAAUACUUGGGAACACUUGGAUUGCUGUGUAGGAUCUGUGCUCUUCCCUUCCCCGGGGCUCCAGCACAGGGCUUCCCUUACAGCAAAGUUUAUUUUCUCUUUUCUCAGUUCCCUGCUUAUGAAAACAGGGCAGCUCUGUACAUUAACAUGCAGAAAACCAAACUGAAACUGAGAGCUUCCACCCCAACAGCAACAUGAUCCUGCCAUCCCAAAUACACCCAGCGUUCCCCCUGCCUCCUGCUGUGCUGUUAUCCACAAAUCUGGAAAUUUUCAUAUCCACAGAUCUGGAGCUGCUCCCUUUCUCCAGCUGCAAUAUUGUGUAGCCUCUCUUUACAAGAGGCUGGGAAAACAAUAAGUGGGAGUUGACUUUUGUUUUCCAAAUAGGUAGGGAAGAGUAGCUCAUCUAAUAAUUUCCAUGGCCAAUUAUUGUCGAUUAACAUCAAAUCAGACUGAAAAUAUAGAACAUGAACUGAAGAAUGAAUUAGUAUCUGUUGCAGACGAGGUUAACUCAGCGUGUAGUGAAGUUUAUUUGUGUGAGGGGGCCACUGAAAUGGAUCUGGGGUUGGAGCACAGUGACACAGCUGUGGGACCUUCCCAUCCACGCAGGAAGUGCUUUUGUUUCUCUCAGUUCUGGAGCAUUUUUGCUUCUUCACUUCUCUCAUGGAAAACCUGGUUUUGGGGGCCGGACAGAUUGUGAGGAGGAGAACCUGGAAGCAUGAAAACAGCAAGAAGCAAAGUGUGGAUGUAACCACACAAAUGGAAUGUGCUUGUGAGCUCAAGGUCAGGGUAAAGAAAUGCAGGGACCCAGGACACUCACUGAGGUUUGUCACUCUCAGCAGCUCCUGAACCCCCAACUCCAGUGCCUUACCAAGGGGUACAACAGUGCUCCCUAAUAAAUCCUGACUGGCUUUCAUGAUGGCCCCAAUCUGUAACCAAGCUUUAAAAAGACUGACCAAAAGUUUACAUUCAGUUAAUGAGAAUUACUCUUUCCUUCCAAAGUUACACAUAAAAUUAAAUUCUCAAGGAUAAGCUGGUCUGUAGGAGUGUUUAGUUAGUUACUAACAAUCUCUAUAGACUAUAGACAGACCCAUGUUUAAAGAUGGGAGGAAAACAGUAUAGUUAUAUUGACAAAACCUUCAUUUACCCUGAGCUCUGAGUUUACAGGUAUUUAUUUCCCCUUUAAAUAAGGAUUUACUUUGUAAAUAUUCCUAUGCCAAGACACAGUAAUUUGGAGGACUCAAGCUGGAAAGUUUAGUGUGGCUAUAGGGGCACUACAGCCAACCAACAAAAUCAGGUAACUAUGAAAUGAAAAAAACAAAUCCACAAAGCUCUAAAAUAUGCCUGUACUUUUACAUAUAUGUGUGAAGAGGCAAAAAUUGCUGCAGUUCAGCUGUUCAGGAUGACAGGAAUGCUGGGCACGCACAGGCUGCGAAAAGCCACAGGAAAAGGGGAUUUACAAGUGGCAUGUGCUUCCAAUCUGCAGGAAACAAAUCUGAUCUUCUGCAUAUCAAAUGCAAAUCCCACUAACAGGAUGUGAAAACAAGAAUGGAUUGGCCAUCUCAAGACAUAAAAUCUGACAUAUAGAAGCACCUCUACCACCUACUUCUGCUUUCAUUUCAGGGGUUUAUUCCAACAGCGCUCCUGGUUUGGAAUUGAUUGCUUCUUCCAUUUAUCAUCUUAAACUUAUUAAACUGCUCUUUUUCUUUUUUCUUUUUUUUUUUUGCAUUAUGUUAGGAUAUUAAUUAUCUUUGUAGGGAAAAGAUACACUACCAUAAUCUUAAAGUUUUUUAGUUUUUUUUAGAUUCUUUUUAGUUUUAUCGAUUUCAGUAAGGUACACUAUGUUUCACUGCUUCUUUUAUAAACCACUUUAUUUGAAAACACAUUUUCACUGGCUUUGUAGGUACCUUGUCAUUGGCUAAAUAUGACCAGUUUUCUGUUACCUGAUAUAUGUAUAUGUAUACAAGACAAAUGUUUAAAUUAUUUAUUUUUUAAUAAAUGCAUCUGUAAAAUCU